GAGGCACUGAGGCUAGUGGUGUUGUGGAGACCGGCUUGGAGACUAUGGUGAGGCCUAAUAGAAAGCAGUUGUUGGGGGAUUCCAUUAUAAGAGGUGUGGAGAUGGACAAUGGUGGUCUUGUGAGGUGUCUUCCCGGAGCUACUGCUCACAGAGACAGGAGACGUAUCUGUAAUAUUGUUAAGCAAGCAAAGCAGGAAGGGGAAUUGGAUGUACUUGUCCAUCUAGGGACAAAUGACUUGGCUUGUAAUGAGGUUUCAGAGGUUAAGGAAGUUUUUAGUGUUUUUG